ACUGGCUCUUGAUGGUUUGUGCUGU
rnacentral:piRNA from 1 species